UACGAAGGGGGCUAGCGUUGUUCGGAAUUACUGGGCGUAAAGCGCACGUAGGCGGAUCGAUCAGUCAGGGGUGAAAUCCCAGGCUCAACCCUGGAACUGCCUUUGAUACUGUCGAUCUGGAGUAUGGAAGAGGUGAGUGGAAUUCCGAGUGUAGAGGUGAAAUUCGUAGAUAUUCGCAAGAACACCAGUGGCGAAGGCGGCUCACUGGCUCGAUACUGACGCUGAGGUGCGAAAGCGUGGGGAGCAAACAGG
rnacentral:rRNA from 1 species